UACGGGGGGAGCAAGCGUUGUUCGGAUUUACUGGGCGUAAAGGGCGCGUAGGCGGUCAGCACAAGUCAGUUGUGAAAUCUCCGAGCUUAACUCGGAACGGUCAACUGAUACUGUGCGACUAGAGUGCGGAAGGGCAACUGGGAAUUCCCGGUGUAGUGGUGGAAUGCGUAGAUAUCGGGAGGAACACCAGUGGCGAAGGCGGUUGCCUGGGGCUUUGCUGACGCUGAUGGCGCGAAAGCUAGGGGAAGCAAACAGG
rnacentral:rRNA from 1 species